rnacentral:lncRNA from 1 species
GAACAAGCUAUGCUUUUUUGUAACGAGGACUGUACGAUAUGCCACGAAAUUGUGGCGUUCGAAAGGAGAAUGGGGAUUGAUAACUAAUUGUAGCGUUUCUUUUGCGUUUGCCUGAUGAUGUCCAUGAUUGGUUGGCUCAAGUUGUAGUGCUGGAACUAUGUUUGUGGUUAAUUUGGCUCAACUUGUAGUCACUACAAGGUUUUGUCUAUCCAAUGAAGUUGUAUUUUCGCAAUGUGCUUUUGUGUCUAAGCACACCUUAUACCUCCCUAUAUAUAGGUGUUAUGAUGUACCUAUAAAAAGAAACCACACUUGGGUACAUUCAUUUCUCCUGGGAUUUCAAUUGUGGGACCCACUACAUCCCGCCAGGUUGUGCCUCAAAUUUUUAGUACUAGUGCAAUGUUUCCUCAAUUCUUUUUUUUCCUAAACCCUCAAAUAUCUCAAUCUCCU